rnacentral:rRNA from 1 species
GAACGAACGCUGGCGGGCAUGCCUAAUACAUGCAAGUCGAACGAGAUCUUCGGAUCUAGUGGCGCACGGGUGCGUAACGCGUGGGAAUCUGCCCUUGGGUUCGGAAUAACAUCUGGAAACGGAUGCUAAUACCGGAUGAUGACGUAAGUCCAAAGAUUUAUCGCCCAAGGAUGAGCCCGCGUAGGAUUAGCUAGUUGGUGAGGUAAAGGCUCACCAAGGCUACGAUCCUUAGCUGGUCUGAGAGGAUGAUCAGCCACACUGGGACUGAGACACGGCCCAGACUCCUACGGGAGGCAGCAGUAGGGAAUAUUGGACAAUGGGGGCAACCCUGAUCCAGCAAUGCCGCGUGAGUGAUGAAGGCCUUAGGGUUGUAAAGCUUCUUUUACCCGAGAUGAUU